AUGAAAUCUGCACCCUGGAAUAACUGACAUAUGCGUUGGAGCCCUACCCUCUCCAAAUUCCGGUAAUCUCUGGCCGCCAUGCCCGGAGGAAAUUCCCUGUUACGGAGAUACGGCGUAAGGGGGGAGGGGUCUGAGGCUAAUUCGUAUUUAUGUGCCAUGGUGUCCCAUAGCCUGAUGGAAUUAAGAAUGGCUGGGCAGGUGACUCUGAUCUGGG